AACCUAGGAUUCUCUCCCUGGCGAGCCGACCAGCUUGAUCAACUUGAUUCAUCCUCAUCCAUUGAGAAUGUCUGAUAUAAGUGAGAGCAUCAUUUCUGUCCUGCCAAGUGUGCCAGAAGAAACGAUCUUACACCAGGGAGUGGAAAGCAAAGAUGACUUGCAGUACAUAAGAGAACAGGAAAUUGCAGAGGUUAAUCGACCAAUCCAGUGCAGAAAACAUUUAAAUGCAUGGAAAUGAGCAGAUGCUAUAAGUUGUGCUACCCCCCUACUCCAGUCCCCAGAAGGCAGUUCAUCACUGUCAAGCUCCUUGAGAUCCAGUAGCCCUUCACCAUCACAUUCCAUACGGCCACCAGUAAAGCAGAAAUGGCCAGAAACGUUCCAGGUACCCUUGGAGAAAGUGCCACCAGGUAUUUGUACUGCCACUGAAAGUGGGAUCAGGUCCUCACCAGCAGAUAGAAGGCAAGUGGUUUGGGUCUUGGUGGACAAAAUGAGGAAGUUUGAGGCCAACCCUUCGUGGUCGCAGUGCCUCAUAAUUUCUGUCAAGAUUGUCAACGAGUUUCCACAGUCCUUCGCUGACAUGAUAGAAGGGAAAUUUAUAGGGGGAGGAUAUGCAUCUCUCCUGAGUCAAUAAAAAUUCAUGUUGAGCAUUGAAACAUACUUAACCGCAACAUAGAAAGUGUUAUUUCUAUGUUUAAAUUAAUAAAAAGCACGUUUUCAAUGUACAAAAAUGCCAAGUUACUCAAAAGUAUUGAUAUCAAAAUGACAAAAUACAAAAUAUUUUGAAUUGCCUCAUGGAACACAUUGAAAUUAAUGUACAACACUGCUGCUGAGUAACUACAGAAAGCAUAUUUCUCCAGAAAACAUGUUUGUACUUGCUUCUGAACUGAAAUUCAGUACAUGUGCAAGUAAUUGUAUAUCUGCUGCAUACAAUAAAUUCUGCAUGUGAAAUACA